rnacentral:pre_miRNA from 1 species
GAGACACCCUUCUGGGGCAAGACUUGCUUCAGUGGGGCUUUGGUGCUCUCUGAAUCUGCCCCCUGAGUGUGUCCCU